rnacentral:rRNA from 1 species
CAAUAGCGUAUAUUAAAGUUGUUGCAGUUAAAAAGCUCGUAGUUGGAUUUCUGGUUGAAGCGACCGGUCGGGCGUUGAUUCGUCUGCACUGGAGUCGGUUUUGGCCGUCCUCUAGGAAAGUGCGUCUGGUAUUAAGUUAUCGGGCGUAUGAUCCUGGUCUUUUACUGUGAAAAAAUUAGAGUGUUUAAAGCAGGCCUUCGCCUUGAAUACAUUAGCAUGGAAUAAUAAGAUAGGACUUUGGUCUAUUUUGUUGGUUUGCAGACCGAAGUAAUGAUUAAUAGGGAUAGUUGGGGGUAUUUAUAUUCCGAUGUCAGAGGUGAAAUUCUUAGAUUUUCGGAAGAUAAACUUAUGCGAAAGCAUUUACCAAGGAUGUUUNCAUUAA